GGAGGGAUGGCUGAGCGGACGAAAGCGACGGUCUUGAAAACCGUUAUAGGGGCAACUCUAUCGUGGGUUCGAAUCCCACUCCCUCCGCCA
rnacentral:tRNA from 1 species